rfam:Helicobacter sp. CLO-3 strain HMC1 NODE_15, whole genome shotgun sequence.
ACUAUGGAGAGUUUGAUCCUGGCUCAGAGUGAACGCUGGCGGCGUGCCUAAUACAUGCAAGUCGAACGAUGAAGCUUUUAGCUUGCUAGAAGUGGAUUAGUGGCGCACGGGUGAGUAACGCAUAGAUAACAUGCCUCAUAGUCUGGGAUAGCCACUGGAAACGGUGAUUAAUACUGGAUACUCCCUAAGGGGGAAAGUGGCUCUUAAUUUAGAAUUCAUCACUUGUAUGAAAUUCGUCUUUGGGCGAUAAAUGCACGAGUGCUUAAAAAAUAGUCAGUCACUACCGAUUAGGUAGCUCCUUCCUAUUUUCUUUCACACUCGCACAUUUCUCAUCCCAAAUACUAAAAUUUCAUCAAACUAGAUUUUGCAAUAUAAAAUUCUAGUAUCUUGUGAUGAUUUUUAAGGUUGUGGUGUAAUGAACGAAUGAGACGCACUAAGCGUGCGUCGCAGUGAGUGAAUGCGCCAUCUCCUUAAAAAGCGCACAAGAGACGAAUUUUAAAUUAAGAGCUUACGCUAUGAGAUUGGUCUAUGUCCUAUCAGCUUGUUGGUGAGGUAAUGGCUCACCAAGGCUAUGACGGGUAUCCGGCCUGAGAGGGUGAUCGGACACACUGGAACUGAGACACGGUCCAGACUCCUACGGGAGGCAGCAGUAGGGAAUAUUGCUCAAUGGGGGAAACCCUGAAGCAGCAACGCCGCGUGGAGGAUGAAGGUUUUCGGAUUGUAAACUCCUUUUGUUAGAGAAGAUAAUGACGGUAUCUAACGAAUAAGCACCGGCUAACUCCGUGCCAGCAGCCGCGGUAAUACGGAGGGUGCAAGCGUUACUCGGAAUCACUGGGCGUAAAGAGCGCGUAGGCGGGAAGCUAAGUCAGAUGUGAAAUCCUGUGGCUUAACUGCAGAACUGCAUUUGAAACUGGCUUUCUAGAGUGUGGGAGAGGUAGGUGGAAUUCUUGGUGUAGGGGUAAAAUCCGUAGAGAUCAAGAGGAAUACUCAUUGCGAAGGCGACCUGCUGGAACAUUACUGACGCUGAUGCGCGAAAGCGUGGGGAGCAAACAGGAUUAGAUACCCUGGUAGUCCACGCCCUAAACGAUGAAUGCUAGUUGUUGUGAGGCUUUGUCCUUGCAGUAAUGCAGCUAACGCAUUAAGCAUUCCGCCUGGGGAGUACGGUCGCAAGAUUAAAACUCAAAGGAAUAGACGGGGACCCGCACAAGCGGUGGAGCAUGUGGUUUAAUUCGAAGAUACACGAAGAACCUUACCUAGGCUUGACAUUGAUAGAAUCCGCUAGAAAUAGUGGAGUGUCUAGCUUGCUAGACCUUGAAAACAGGUGCUGCACGGCUGUCGUCAGCUCGUGUCGUGAGAUGUUGGGUUAAGUCCCGCAACGAGCGCAACCCUCGUCCUUAGUUGCUAGCAGUUCGGCUGAGCACUCUAAGGAGACUGCCUUCGUAAGGAGGAGGAAGGUGAGGACGACGUCAAGUCAUCAUGGCCCUUACGCCUAGGGCUACACACGUGCUACAAUGGGGCGCACAAAGAGAAGCAAUAGCGUGAGCUGGAGCCAAUCUCUAAAACGCCUCUCAGUUCGGAUUGUAGUCUGCAACUCGACUACAUGAAGCUGGAAUCGCUAGUAAUCGUAGAUCAGCUAUGCUACGGUGAAUACGUUCCCGGGUCUUGUACUCACCGCCCGUCACACCAUGGGAGUUGUAUUCGCCUUAAGUCGGGAUACUAAAUUGGUUACCGCCCACGGCGGAUGCAGCGACUGGGGUGAAGUCGUAACAAGGUAACCGUAGGUGAACCUGCGGUUGGAUCACCUCCUUU